AUCUCCACCACCACCGGUACCACCACUACCAGGCUAACACAGAAAUGCAGAAACUCAAUUAGAUCGAUAAGGAAAGCAUUCUCCUUCUCCUUCUCCUUCUCCUCAACCUUUUCUUUUUAUUUCUUGUGUUUGUUAGUAGUAUGGUUUCAUUUAAGGCAAAAGAGAAGACCAUGAGAAACAUUAUGGUUUCAUCUUUUCUCCAAAUUGCGGUUGGGCAAUCAGCUGAGACUGCUAAACAGUUCUUACAGAGCCGCAAGAAUGGGACAUCCUCCUUAUGUUGCAUUUGGGAAUUUUAAUGAGGAGUUGAAACAUCCUGGAGUCUGGGAGCCUGAGCAAGGUGCACCAUCAACAGCAGAUAACUCCCGAGAUAAUCUUGUUUCGCUCUGUUGUCCCCCUUUUGAGGUGACGUACAAGGGACCUUUCAACAAGGUAAAGGAGAUUUCUUUGGGGAACAUUCUUAUAUUGUUGUUCUAUGUCUUUAUUUUUUCAAUUUGAUAAAUUUUGAACAAAAUCUCUACUUGUCUAAUUGAAACUUGGUUAACCCUUCCUACAUUACUUUGUUAUCUGAAACAGAACCGUGGCUCAAACAAUCGGCACUUACUCCAUAGAUAAUCGUCUAGUUUAAUAUUAUCUAAAUCUAUUAUUUAACUUUAUUUCUUGGAUUGGGUAUAAUUUGAGUAAUCUUGUUCUGUAUGCUGUGUUUGUGAAAGCAAGGUGUACGAUGACACCACUGAGGGUAGGAAAGUCCGCACCUACUACAACCUGGUUUCUAUUCCUGUAGUUCUGGUUCUGGACUUAAUAACCGGGGAAGAAAUGUAUUUAUAGGGUGGCGUGAUUCAAUCUGGGCAUUUACUAGAGGAGCUGCUUUCUUUCAUGGAUGGAGGUCCCAAAGAUCAUCAUGUUGCAGUUCCUCACAAACGUUCAAGGAAAACCUCUCAGGCUCCUACUCUCAAACCUAAAGGAAAGAAGAAGAAGACUUAAAAUCCUCUGUAGAAGCUUGAAAGAUUUAAUCUAAAAUCCCAUAACUGAAGAUGUUUCUUACAAGGACUGAGUAUGAUAGAGGUGUGAAUACUUUCUCACCUGAAGGGAGAUUGUUUCAGGUUGAGUAUGCUAUUCAAGCUAUUAAGCUUGGAUCAACUGCAAUUGGAUUGAAAACUAAAGAAGGUGUAGUGCUUGCUGUAGAGAAGCGUAUCACUUCACCAUUGCUGGAGCCCAGUUGUGUGGAGAAAAUUAUGGAAAUCGAUGAGCAUAUAGGCUGUGCAACGAGUGGACUAGUUGCUGAUGCUCGUACACUUGUUGCACAUGCACGAGUCGAAACUCAGAUACUACACAGACCCGUCUGGCACAUUUUGGCAGUGUAAUGCAAAAGCAACAGGAUCAGGUUCUGAGGGAGCAGACAGCUCUUUACAGGAGCAAUUCAACAAGGACAUGACACUCCAAGAAGCCGAAACAGUAGCUCUUUCAAUCUUGAAGCAAGGGAUGGAGGAGAAGGUUGCUCCGAAGUACCAUUUAUAUUCUCCUUCUGAGGUGGAGGCUGUCAUCGCUCGCUUAUAGAAAGAAAACCCUUAAUCGUUCGGAUCUGUGUCUAUACAGGAAUAUCCGCAGCUUGAAUAUUUCCUACUCCAAAAAGACUCUCCUAUGGCUAUCCAAUCUUUAAAAAUUGGGUGCUGCUUUAAGUUCCAAGGUUUUCAUAUUCUAGACCACACUAUGUUCAGGCACUGAAUACACCACCAUCAGCUUCAGGCACUGAAUACACCACUAUCAGCUCUCGUUGAAGUUAACUGGUUGCUGCUAUCGGAUUUGCGAAAUUGUACUCGUCUCACUCAACUAAAGUGGCAUGUAACUAUUGAAUUGCAGUUUUCUCCAGAGGUAGUUUUAGUAGAUUCAUAUUGAUUUCACGAUCGAAUAUUCAUUUUGUGUUGAGAAUGAUCCAUGCCUCUGUAUAUCUCCAUACAAGUAUAAGUUGGUUACUAUUAA